UUCGAUGUGUUUCACCCUGGUAGUGCGGUCGUCUUUGUGGUUCUAGAGCUGCUCUGGCAUUGCCUAAGAACAGGAUGUAUCGACAUGGUGUAGAAUUGCAGAGUGGGGGCGCUCCCAUUCUAUCCCCACUCCAUUCCUUCAGAGUUGUGGUUCAUGUGAUUCCAGUCCUUUUAACUCGUCGGAAUUCUGACAGUUGAACCAUUCCCACUCUUUGAGUGGUCGAACUAAUUUACUCCAAUCCUCCAAUUACAGUAAAUAAAACGCUUCCUGUAUAAUUACUUACUACUUGCGCCCCAAUGCAGCGAUAGCGUAGAGGUAGAGCAUCCGCCUCGCGUGCAAAAAGACUGUGGUUCAAAUCCCAGUGCCACGCAAUUUUCCACCAGAUAAAAAAAAUCCACAUGUUCAUACAGUUGUAUAAACAGGCCUGGUGGCCUGACCCUGGUGACCAGAACCGGUAAUGCACUCCCUCACCAGAGCAGGAUUGGCCACCUUGGUGCAGUACUUGGCCACAACCUCCUAUAUGAAUAGAACAAUCAAACCCCGGCCCUCAGUCCCCAGCAGCUGUGAAGCAACUGACCAUGGCGGCGGUCAGACCUGUGACGCAGCAGAGGGUGCUAAGAAUCUCUGGAUCUGGACAGGCCACCAUUGGAAUCUGAACCAGGCAACGUUUAACGCUAGAACAUUAUCAUUAUCUAUUUUUUAUAGUGAGGCGAGUCUAGCAGUGCUAUUAGAGGAAUUAGCGGGCAUUAAUUGGGAUAUAAUGGAGCUCAGUAAGGUUGACAAAUGAAGCAUAUACAGUGCUAAAAAGCGGGCACAUCCUGUGCCACCGGGGCUUAGCGGAGAGACAAGAACUAGCAGUCGGGUUCCUGAUAAAUAAGGAUAUAGCUGGUAACGUACAGGAAUUGUAUAGCAUUAACGAGAGGGUGGCAGGUCUUAUUGUGAAACUUAAUAAGAGGUACAAAUUGAAGGCCGUACAGAUCUAGGCGCCUACAUCCAGUCAUGAUGACCAGCAAGUCGAAAGCUUCUAUGAAGACGUGGAAUCGGCGAUGGGUAAAGUCAAAACAAAAUACACUAUACUGAUGGGCGACUUCAAUGCCAGGAUAGGCAAGAAGCAGGCUGGAGAAAAGUCAGCGGGGGGAAUAUGGCAUAGGUUCUAGGAAUAGUAGGGGAGAGUUAUUAGUAGAGUUUGCAGAAUGGAAUAAUUUGCGGAUAAUCAAUACCUUCUUCCGCAAGCGGGACAACUGAAAAUGGACAUGGAGGAGCCCGAAUGGCGAGACUAGAAAUGAAAUAGACCUCAUACCCUGCGCUAACCCUGGCAUCAUACAAGACGUGGACAUGCUUGGCAAGGUGUGCUGCAGUGACCAUAGGAUGAUAAGGGAGGCAGCUUUUGCAUCUGCAACAGAAUAUCGGUGGAUGUUGUGUGAAGCACUUUUUCCAUACUUUGCUACUACCUGAGCAAGGUAACUUUAUUGGUGCUUCAUCACGCGAUUUCUACAGUCAACUUCCAUUAAUUCUACCCUCACGAUACCGAUGGGUCGAAUUAAGAUGCAAAAACCUGCUGAAACACCAUUGAUUCAUUUGGCAGUAUGUGCUUAAGUAACACGGCUGUGAAACGAACGUGCAUCAACUUUCUGUUCGUCCAAAGUAUAAAACUAAAGUAGAAAUGACUUAACUCCUCACCAAAGUAGAAACCUAUGCGUAGCUGCAUUUUUAGAAUGGCAGCCGAUUUUCUAAAGUCAGCUUUGCCGUAUUACAGCCAUUAUAUGCGGUAAAGCAUAUGAAUGCUACAACCACGGUUUUAGUUUCGCAAUCGAUUCAGCUAGGCAAUUUUCGGCUCAAUGUCCUUUGAAAACAAAAAAAUGUUAUUUAGAAUCAGAUACGUACCACAAUUGGACAUUGUCAGCUACCGUUACUGCUUGAAAAUCUUUCUCAGGUGGGUCAAAAUAAUAGGCAUUUCAGAGAGGAGAUGGCGUUUGUUUAACGCAUUCACUGUCCCCUAAGCUCUGCCGAGACAGACGCUGCCACUAAAAGGGGUCGGUAUUGGGGUCUGGUCAAGUUCGCAUUAUCCGGCUAAUGCCAGUUUUAGGAUCGAAAUAAUUAAUGUUUAGGCGCAUAGAAAUGCAUGGGCGCCGACCCGGAUUGAAUUAGCUGAAAAUUUAAAUUAACUGGAGUCAGAUUAUUGGAAGUUUACUGUACACCCUUUUCUGUUCUACAAGGACUUGCCAUUUUAAUGUGUAGUUUUCUUCUAUAAGUGUGGCAGUGGUGCUAAAUUUAGCAUUUGUUCAAAUCAUCCAUUGUUUCAAGGACAAGUUACAAAGUAGGGGCGCACUUUGAGACUUGAAACAUUUGCACAUAUAAAGGCGAGACAUGUUAACAGCUGUCCAAUUAACAUAAGUUGGCUGUAUUAUCUGCAUAGCAUGUGGUUGCUUUUUUGGAGUGUGGUCAUUCUGUAAAAUAAAGUUGCAUUUGUUUCAAAUAAAUUGCUGAACUAUU